rnacentral:rRNA from 1 species
CAGCCGCCGCGGUAAUACCGGCAGCCCGAGUGGCGGUCACUAUUAUUGGGCUUAAAGCGUCCGUAGCCGGGUUGGGAAGUCCUCCGGGAAAUCUGGCCGCUUAAAGGUCAGAAUGCCGGAGGAUACUCCCAGCCUAGGGAGCGGGAGAGGCCGAGGGUAUUCCCGGAGUAGGGGUGAAAUCCUAUAAUCCCGGGAGGACCACCUGUGGCGAAGGCGCUCGGCUGGAACGCGUCCGACGGUGAGGGACGAAGGCCAGGGGAGCAAACCGGAUUAGAUACCCGGGUAGUCCUGGCUGUAAACGAUGCGGACUUUGUGUCGGACAAGCUAUGAGCUUGUCCGGUGCCGGAGGGAAACCGUUAAGUCCGCCGCCUGGGGAGUACGGCCGCAAGGCUGAAACUUAAAGGAAUUGGCGGG